rnacentral:rRNA from 1 species
GAUGAACGCUAGCGGGAGGCUUAAUACAUGCAAGUCGAACGGUAAGGUCUCUUCGGAGAUACACGAGUGGCGCACGGGUGAGUAACGCGUACACAAUCUACCUCUUAGAGGGGGAAAGUCGCUGGAAACGGCGAAUAAUACCCCAUAGUAUCAUAAUGCCGCAUGGUAUAAUGAUUAAAGUUCAGGCGCUAAGAGAUGAGUGUGCGUUCCAUUAGCUAGUUGGUGAGGUAACAGCUCACCAAGGCGACGAUGGAUAGGGGGCGUGAGAGCGUGGCCCCCCACACGGGUACUGAGACACGGACCCGACUCCUACGGGAGGCAGCAGUAAGGAAUAUUGGACAAUGGGCGCAAGCCUGAUCCAGCCAUCCCGCGUGUAGGAUGACUGCCCUAUGGGUUGUAAACUACUUUUGUUAGGGAAGAAACCCCGAUAUUUAUAUUGGGCUGACGGUACCUAAAGAAUAAGCACCGGCUAACUCCG